CCCGCAACGAGCGCAACCCUUAUCCUUUGUUGCCAGCGGUCCGGCCGGGAACUCAAAGGAGACUGCCAGUGAUAAACUGGAGGAAGGUGGGGAUGACGUCAAGUCAUCAUGGCCCUUACGACCAGGGCUACACACGUGCUACAAUGGCAUAUACAAAGAGAAGCGACCUCGCGAGAGCAAGCGGACCUCAUAAAGUAUGUCGUAGUCCGGAUUGGAGUCUGCAACUCGACUCCAUGAAGUCGGAAUCGCUAGUAAUCGUAGAUCAGAAUGCUACGGUGAAUACGUUCCCGGGCCUUGUACACACCGCCCGUCACACCAUGGGAGUGGGUUGCAAAAGAAGUAGGUAGCUUAACCUUCGGGAGGGCGCUUACCACUUUGUGAUUCAUGACUGGGGUGAAGUCGUAACAAGGUAACCGUAGGGGAACCUGCGGUUGGAUCAC
rnacentral:rRNA from 1 species